GGUUCCAUAGUGUAGUGGUUAGCAUGUCUGCUUUACAUGCAGAAGGUCUUGGGUUCAUGCCCCAGUGGAGCCA
rnacentral:tRNA from 1 species